UUGAACGCUGGCGGCAGGCCUAACACAUGCAAGUCGAGCGGUAGCACAGAGAGCUUGCUCUCGGGUGACGAGCGGCGGACGGGUGAGUAAUGUCUGGGAAACUGCCUGAUGGAGGGGGAUAACUACUGGAAACGGUAGCUAAUACCGCAUAAUGUCGCAAGACCAAAGUGGGGGACCUUCGGGCCUCAUGCCAUCAGAUGUGCCCAGAUGGGAUUAGCUAGUAGGUGGGGUAACGGCUCACCUAGGCGACGAUCCCUAGCUGGUCUGAGAGGAUGACCAGCCACACUGGAACUGAGACACGGUCCAGGCUCCUACGGGAGGCAGCAGUGGGGAAUAUUGCACAAUGGGCGCAAGCCUGAUGCAGCCAUGCCGCGUGUGUGAAGAAGGCCUUCGGGUUGUAAAGCACUUUCAGCGGGGAGGAAGGCGUUAAGGUUAAUAACCUUGGCGAUUGACGUUACCCGCAGAAGAAGCACCGGCUAACUCCGUGCCAGCAGCCGCGGUAAUACGGAGGGUGCAAGCGUUAAUCGGAAUUACUGGGCGUAAAGCGCACGCAGGCGGUCUGUCAAGUCGGAUGUGAAAUCCCCGGGCUCAACCUGGGAACUGCAUUCGAAACUGGCAGGCUAGAGUCUUGUAGAGGGGGGUAGAAUUCCAGGUGUAGCGGUGAAAUGCGUAGAGAUCUGGAGGAAUACCGGUGGCGAAGGCGGCCCCCUGGACAAAGACUGACGCUCAGGUGCGAAAGCGUGGGGAGCAAACAGGAUUAGAUACCCUGGUAGUCCACGCCGUAAACGAUGUCGAUUUGGAGGUUGUGCCCUUGAGGCGUGGCUUCCGGAGCUAACGCGUUAAAUCGACCGCCUGGGGAGUACGGCCGCAAGGUUAAAACUCAAAUGAAUUGACGGGGGCCCGCACAAGCGGUGGAGCAUGUGGUUUAAUUCGAUGCAACGCGAAGAACCUUACCUGGUCUUGACAUCCACAGAACUUUCCAGAGAUGGAUUGGUGCCUUCGGGAACUGUGAGACAGGUGCUGCAUGGCUGUCGUCAGCUCGUGUUGUGAAAUGUUGGGUUAAGUCCCGCAACGAGCGCAACCCUUAUCCUUUGUUGCCAGCGGUCCGGCCGGGAACUCAAAGGAGACUGCCAGUGAUAAACUGGAGGAAGGUGGGGAUGACGUCAAGUCAUCAUGGCCCUUACGACCAGGGCUACACACGUGCUACAAUGGCAUAUACAAAGAGAAGCGACCUCGCGAGAGCAAGCGGACCUCAUAAAGUAUGUCGUAGUCCGGAUUGGAGUCUGCAACUCGACUCCAUGAAGUCGGAAUCGCUAGUAAUCGUAGAUCAGAAUGCUACGGUGAAUACGUUCCCGGGCCUUGUACACACCGCCCGUCACACCAUGGGAGUGGGUUGCAAAAGAAGUAGGUAGCUUAACCUUCGGGAGGGCGCUUACCACUUUGUGAUUCAUGACUGGGGUG
rnacentral:rRNA from 1 species